CCGCCGGCAUCGACUAUGUUAUUCUUGCUUUUGAAUUCGACAAUGGAUCUGUCCGCGGUCGUCGCCUGCUGACGCAAUUCCUGAAUGCGGUCAGAUAGCCAGUUGCCUGCGCGGCGGGCCGAUUGAUACUUGGCGUCGAGCUGAUCGACAAUAUAAGCCUCGGCGACUGCAUUUGCGAUCUGAGCCGCGCGAUCCGGGCUCGCGGAGCGAUAGCUCACUU
rnacentral:misc_RNA from 1 species